rnacentral:pre_miRNA from 1 species
GGCAAAUCUUAAGCACCAGACAGAUUUGGCAUAAAUGUAGGUGGAACCUUGAUUUUUAGCAAGGUUUCAGGCAGGCCCUUGGAACCUUGAUGUAACAGGUUUUCUGCCUGGAACCUUGCAAAACAUCAAGGUUCCACCUGCAUUUAUAGCAAGUCUGUCUGGUGCUCAAGGUUUGCU